GGGGUUGUAGUUUAAUUGGUAAAACAUCAAGCUGUUAACUUGAGGGAAAGAAGUUCAAAUCUUCUCAACCCCG
rnacentral:tRNA from 1 species